rnacentral:lncRNA from 1 species
GUUUUAUUCCUAGGUGAGGUCAGGUGGACCAUGUUUUAGUGGCCUUCAGCUGUUAUCUGCUCUAUUGUCGGGUUGUUGUCUCUUUGACAUAUUUCCCAUUUUCAUUCUCAAUUUUACUUAUUGAUAUGAAACCUACCAAUAAUUCAAUAGACCAAACACUGUCUUACCUAUAAAUAAUGAUUAAGAAUUUCACAUGACAAACAAAAAAA